AUUGAACGCUGGCGGCAUGCUUUACACAUGCAAGUCGAACGGUAACAGGUUAAGCUGACGAGUGGCGAACGGGUGAGUAAUGCAUCGGAACGUGCCCGGUCGUGGGGGAUAACACUUCGAAAGAAGUGCUAAUACCGCAUACGAUCUGAGGAUGAAAACGGGGGACCGUAAGGCCUCGCGCGAUCGGAGCGGCCGAUGUCAGAUUAGGUAGUUGGUGGGGUAAAGGCCUACCAAGCCGACGAUCUGUAGCUGGUCUGAGAGGACGACCAGCCACACUGGGACUGAGACACGGCCCAGACUCCUACGGGAGGCAGCAGUGGGGAAUUUUGGACAAUGGGCGCAAGCCUGAUCCAGCAAUGCCGCGUGCAGGAAGAAGGCCUUCGGGUUGUAAACUGCUUUUGUACGGAGCGAAAAGGCUCUCUCUAAUACAGGGGGCUCAUGACGGUACCGUAAGAAUAAGCACCGGCUAACUACGUGCCAGCCGCCGCUGUAA
rnacentral:rRNA from 1 species